rnacentral:rRNA from 1 species
UACAGAGGGUGCAAGCGUUAAUCGGAAUUACUGGGCGUAAAACGUGCGUAGACGGUUACAUAAGUCGGGUGUGAAAGCCCCGGGCUCAACCUGGGAAUUGCAUUCGAGACUGCGUAGCUAGGGUGCGGAAGAGGGAAGCGGAAUUUCCGGUGUAGCGGUGAAAUGCGUAGAUAUCGGAAGGAACACCAGUGGCGAAAGCGGCUUCCUGGUCCAGCACCGACGUUCAGGCACGAAAGCGUGGGGAGCAAACAGG